rnacentral:rRNA from 1 species
CGUAAAGCGCGCGCAGGUGGUUUCUUAUGUCUGAUGUGAAAGCCCACGGCUCUACCCGUGGAGGGUCAUUGGAAACUGGGAGACUUGAGUGCCGAAGAAGAAAGUGGAAUUCCAUGUGUAGCGGUGAAAUGCGUAAAGAUAUGGAGGAACACCAGUGGGCGAAGGCCACUUUCCGGUCUGUAACUGACACUGAGGCGCGAAAGCGUGGGGAGCAAAC